rnacentral:rRNA from 1 species
UACGUAGGGAGCAAGCGUUAUCCGGAAUUAUUGGGUGUAAAGGGUGCGUAGACGGGAUAACAAGUUAGUUGUGAAACCCCUCGGCUCAACUGAGGAACUGCAACCAAAACUAUUAUUCUUGAGUGCAGGAGAGGAAAGUGGAAUUCCUAGUGUAGCGGUGAAAUGCGUAGAUAUUAGGAAGAACACCGGUGGCGAGGGCGACUUUCUGGACUGUAACUGACGUUGAGGCACGAAAGUGUGGGGAGCAAACAGG